CCUGCCCCUACAGGUACUGUAGGUAUGGCCGCAGUGUCGCAGGUGCAUUAGUGGGUGGCAGAGAAAAGAAAGGCCAUUGCCUGUGCUAAUUUCUGAACUGUGAAUAUCCGAUGACUAGUAGCCUAACACU